rnacentral:rRNA from 1 species
AAUCAACGCUGGCGGCGUGCCUAACACAUGCAAGUCGAACGCGAAAGCCCCGCAAGGGGCAAGUAGAGUGGCAAACGGGUGAGUAACACGUGGGUGACCUGCCUUCGAGCGGGGGAUAACGUCCCGAAAGGGACGCUAAUACCGCAUGACAUCCUGCCUUUGAAGAGGUGGAGAUCAAAAGCUGGGGAUCGCAAGACCUAGCACUCGAAGAGGGGCCCGCGCCUGAUUAGCAGUUGGUGGGGUAACGGCUCACCAAGGCGACGAUCAGUAGCCGGCCUGAGAGGGCGGACGGCCACACUGGGACUGAGACACGGCCCAGACUCCUACGGGAGGCAGGCAGUGGGGAAUUGUUCGCAAUGGGCGCAAGCCUGACGACGCAACGCCGCGUGGA